UCGUUGGCGAUGGUGGUCGCUGGGGGCAUCAGUAUUGAAGAUUAUCUCAUUUACAGACAAGAUCUUUGAAAUCUGAUCCCUUCAGGCAGCAAAGGACGAAGAGGCUUCAUCACAACGAAACGGGCCAAGAAACGCAAACACUUGAAGAAACAGCACUUCUCCAACCCUUCCCCAAAGCCCAGAGACCCACCAGAUCCUGGUGCAUUCCAUCCACCAGUCUUCCUGCUUGGAGGUAGAUGUCACGUGGGGAGCAGGAGUUCCUCAGAUGAGGGGUGGGGGAAGCCCAGGAGCCACCUCGAUGGACAUAGAGCACAACAGGACACUGUCUAAAGCCAAGCUCAAAGUGCACCGGGAGUUUUAAGGGAGCCUAGAAAUCCCCGAGCAAGACCAUGAGGAGCAAUGUAGCGUGGAAUGAACAAGCUGAACGGACCCACCUUCAAUCUGAGGCUUGAUGAGGAAAAAGGCUGUUUCACUGGAGCCAAGGAGUCAUGAAAGAAGCUCAAGAAGACAACUUGGACAGCGAGCAGAAG